CACUCACAUGGGUCUCUUGUACUAGUAGAUAACGGUAUUAUGUCCCUUGUACCGUUCCAUCCUUUGACCCUUGGAGAUGGUAUCUGCAGAUACUUCUUGUUCCGGUAACAUUAACCUUCUUAUGGUAACAUUCUCAAGGAGAAAGAUCGUGUACCGGAUAUUCAAAUUAUAUAUUUAACUUAACAAAAUCAGCUUGGCAAAGAUCGUGUACCUCCUUCAAAAGGCAGAAGGUGCAGGCUUAGCCCCAUUUGGUUGUUGGCUUUGUUUAAAAGGGAUUAAAACGAUGGUGUUGUAUGUAGAAAGCAACAGCGUCUAGCUCUCAAGAGGUCGGUUGACAUAAGCAUUGAGUCAUUACUCCUUUUUCAGAGCAAGUUCUUUAAAUUGAUUUUCUACCAAAUGUUUAGUAAUCAGGCUAGACUUGGAAACCUCCUUCCAGGUACACAAUUAUCUGUGCGUGGUGAGGUAUUAGCUGACAGAACUGAUUUACGGAUAAAGUUCCAUGGUACUGAAGUCAUCUUGGGUCUAUAAUGUUCGGUGAUAUUUUGAUGCGGCAAUUGGAUAUGAACACCGGGGAAGAGAUGUAACAGACUGAUUUCAUCCUCGUUUUUUCAAUUGUGAUAAGUCAUCCCAUAGACUUCCAUACAUUGUUUUCCCCUGGCUUCUGGAUUGCUCUUCUUCAAAAUCAUGCCAUUAUUGAGACUGAAGAAUUUUUUACAUGUUCUAUCAUCAUCUUCCCCAGCUAGCAUUAGCCAUGGAACCCAAGGUAAAUUGCUGUUAAAAUUGUUCUUGGUGGCAUAGAGUGCCAGGAUUUGCAAACAGUGCGAAAAUUAAGGAAAUACCUAAUUUAUGUGAAUGUAACUCCCCAUGACGAGAUGGAGAAGCACACAAUGGGCUCUUCAUCAACCAACUUUUCAGCGUUGAGACAGGUGGAGCUCCCAUGAACACCGAGAAAAAGCACAUUGUGAGGACCGGGGGCUUUUGGUGUGAUGGAUAAAGAAAAGUAA